rnacentral:rRNA from 1 species
GGCCUCCAGCCAAAUUAGUAUUGGAGGUCGGACCUGCCCAGUGAAACUUUUUAAACGGCCGCGGUAUCCUAACCGUGCAAAGGUAGCGCAAUCACUUGUCCCUUAAAUGAGGACUAGUAUGAAUGGUUUAAUGAGGGCACGACUGUCUCCUGCAGCUAGUCAAUGAAAUUGAUAAUUCAGUACAAAUGCUGAAAUAUUAACACAAGACGAGAAGACCCUGUGGAACUUUUAACUAACCUGCCAGCAGUAAUCAACCAACCAACCACCCCUAGCAGACAGUUUAAGUUGGGGCAACUACGGAGCACAAUAAAACCUCCAUGAAACACGAAUACCAUUCGUUACCAAGGCCCACACGCCAACACAUUAAGCUUGACCCAGUAAAACUGAAUUUCGAACCAAGCUACCCCAGGGAUAACAGCGCAAUCCCCUUCAAGAGUCCCUAUCGCCAAGGGGGCUUACGACCUCGAUGUUGGAUCAGGACACCCCGGCGGUGCAGCCGCUGCCAAAGGCUCGUUUGUUCAACGAAUAAUGUCCU